ACACUCAUUUCAGCAGCACAUAUACUAAAAUUAGAAAGAUACAGAGAAGAUUAGCAUGGCCCUUGCGCAAGGAUGACACACAAAUUUGUGAAGGGUCUCAUAUUUAA